CCUCCGCUUCAUCCAUCUGCCUCUUCGCCGUCUUCAGUCUCUGAGUCAGCUGCAGAGUUCACACAAGUUGAUGUGUUCCUCGUCCGUCUGCAUCUUCAUCUCCUUCACCUUACGCUCCAGCUUGCGGUUUGCUUGUUGCAAGCUGUUGUUGUCUCUGAGAGCAAAAAGGACCAAGAGAUCACAUCACCACUGCAGCUUCCUGUAACUCAAAACCUUCUACCUAAGUGUGUGUCGGACCAGAGAUACUCUCACUCUUACAACCGCAGGGAAAGUGAUAUGAGUGGCUUCACUGCUCCACACAUAAGGAUCUAAUGUAUCCAAAUUGUUAUUCUGCCCUGCUCCUGGAUGCGGCUGUUAAGUUUGGAGACGAGCGAAUCCUGAUUGGUCCUCUGAGAUCCUUCCAGGUGAGUCACUCUGCUCCUCAGGUCUUUAUUCUGACAGAGG